rnacentral:rRNA from 1 species
UACGGAGGGUGCAAGCGUUAUCCGGAUUUACUGGGUUUAAAGGGUGCGUAGGUGGGUUGGUAAGUCAGUGGUGAAAUCUUCGAGCUUAACUCGGAAACUGCCAUUGAUACUAUUAAUCUUGAAUUAUCUGGAGGUAAGCGGAAUAUGUCAUGUAGCGGUGAAAUGCUUAGAUAUGACAUGGAAUACCAAUUGCGAAGGCAGGUUACUAACAAUAUAUUGACGCUGAUGGACGAAAGCGUGGGUAGCGAACAGG